rnacentral:rRNA from 1 species
UGGGGAAUCUUGCACAAUGGGGGCAACCCUGAUGCAGCGACGCCGCGUGAGCGAUGAAGCCCUUCGGGGCGUAAAGCUCUUUCGACCGGAACGAUAAUGACGGUACCGGGAGAAGAAGCUGCGGCUAACUACGUGCCGGCAGCCGCGGUAAUACGUAGGCAGCAAGCGUUGUUCGGAGUUACUGGGCGUAAAGAGUGCGUAGGCGGUUUUCUAAGUUCGGUGUGAAAUCUCCCGGCUUAACUGGGAGGGUGCGCCGAAGACUGGGAAGCUGGAGUGUGGGAAGGGCAGGCGGAAUUCCUGGUGUAGCGGUGAAAUGCGUAGAUAUCAGGAGGAACACCGGCGGUGUAGACGGCUUGCUAGACCAUAACUGACGCUGAGGCACGAAAGCGUGGGUAGCAAACA